AGCUCCGACCCUGCAGCUGGGAAAGGAGCCCCAGCCCCAGGAUCCCCAGGUGACCCCAUUCAGUGAUCAGAACAGAAGACAGACACCUAACCAUGGAGACUGUGCUCAGCUGGGUUUUCCUUGUCGCUAUUUUAAAAGGUGUCCAGGGUGAGGUGCAGCUGGUGGAGUCUGGGGGAGACCUGGUGAAGCCUGGGGGGUCCCUGAGACUCUCCUGUGUGGCCUCUGGAUUCACCUUCAGUAGCUACUACAUGAGCUGGGUCCGCCAGGCUCCAGGGAAGGGGCUGCAGUGGGUCGCACAGAUUAGCAAUGAUGGAAGAAGCACAGGAUACGCAGACGCUGUGAAGGGCCGAUUCACCAUCUCCAGAGUCAACGCCAAGAACACGCUGUAUCUGCAGAUGAACAGCCUGAGAGCUGAGGACACAGCCGUGUAUUACUGUGUGGAGGACACAGUGAGGCGACCUCAGUGUCAACCCAGACACAAACCUCCCUGUAGAAGGGGAUCAGGACCAACAGGGGAUGCACAGUACUCACCACUUCUGUCUUGA